rnacentral:rRNA from 1 species
UACGGAGGAUGCAAGCGUUAUCCGGAAUGAUUGGGCGUAAAGCGUCCGCAGUGGCUGUGUAAGUCUGCUGUCAAAGAGCGAAGCUCAACUUCGUAAAGGCAGUGGAAACUACACCGCUAGAGUGCGUUCGGGGCAGAGGGAAUUCCUGGUGUAGCGGUGAAAUGCGUAGAGAUCAGGAAGAACACCGGUGGCGAAGGCGCUCUGCUAGGCUCGCAACUGACACUGAGGGACGAAAGCUAGGGGAGCGAAUGGG